AGACAUUCUCGUAUGCUUGAUAAUGGGAGCUUAAAUGCCAUCAAAUUCAAACUUGCUAAACAUGAGCUGCUAUAAUUUUGAAUCCCAUCAAUAAACAUAGAAGAAAAUGAAGUGAAAGAAUAAACUCAAAGAUAGUGGCUGCAGAACUGUGCCUGCAAUGACGCAAUAUUGCUGGGUUCAAAAGGUGGUGCAUCUGAUACAGUUCUUGCUCG
rnacentral:lncRNA from 1 species